ACCUGGGUGGUUCAGUCGGUUGAGUGUCUGACUUCUGCUCAGGUCGUGAUCUCACAGUUUGUGGGUUCAAAUCCUGCGUCAGGCU
rnacentral:tRNA from 1 species